rnacentral:rRNA from 1 species
GAUGAACGCUGGCGGCGUGCUUAACACAUGCAAGUCGAACGGAAAGGCCAUGCUUUUGUGGGGUGCUCGAGUGGCGAACAGGUGAGUAACACGUGAGUAACCUGCCCUUGAAUUUGGGAUAACUUCAGGAAAAUGGGGAUAAUACCGGAUAGGAGCUACUGCAGCAUGGUGGGGGUUGGAAAGUUUCGGCGGUUGGGGAUGGACUAGCGGCUUAUGAGCUGGUUGGUGGGGUAGGGGAUUACAAAGGCUAUGAGGGGUAGCCGGCCUGAGAGGGUGGCCGGCGACAUGAGGACUGCGAUACGGCGCAGACUCCUACGGGAGGCAGCAGUGGGGAGUAUUGCACAAUGGGCGGAAGCCUGAUGCGGCGGCGCCGCGUGCGGGAUGACGGCCUUCUGGUUGUAAACCGCUUUCGCCUGUGACGAAGCGUUAGUGACGGUAAUUGGUAAAGAAGCACCGGCUAACUACGUG